UCCGGCUUAUCACCGGCAGUUUCCUCAGAGUUCUCGCCAUUACGCGUUAGCAACAGAGGACGAGGGUUGCGCUCGUUGCGGGACUUAACCCAACAUCUCACGACACGAGCUGACGACAGCCAUGCAGCACCUGUGCAUCUCCCAGCCGAACUGAAGGACUCCCUUUCAGGAAUCCAUAGAGAGCAUGUCAAACCCUGGUAAGGUUCUUCGCGUUGCCUCGAAUUAAACCACAUGUUCCACCGCUUGUGCGGGUCCCCGUCAAUUUCUUUGAGUUUUAAUCUUGCGACCGUACUCCCCAGGCGGGGUGCUUAACGCGUUAGCUACGCCACUGAGAGGUAACCCCCCAACGGCUAGCACCCAUCGUUUACAGCGUGGACUAC
rnacentral:misc_RNA from 1 species